ensembl:snRNA U6 U6 spliceosomal RNA
CUACUUGGGCAGCACAUAUACUGAAAUCAGAACCAUACCGAGAAGAUGAGCGUGCACCUUGUGCGCGGAUGACACGCCAGUUUGCAGAGCGUUCCGUAUUUAA